GCCGUGGCCUUGCCAAAUGUUUUGAAUUUGUUUUGGCGCGAAAAUAUACUGAAUUUGAAUGAGCAACACAAGCUAUAGUGACAAAAUAUAAAGUUGAAAGUGUUUUUCUUGGUUUACUGCUGUUAUUUGUCCUCUAGUUGAAGUUUGCUUUGGUUUUCAUCCUCCAUUGUAAUUUAAUAAAUUGUUCGUGGGUUAUAGAAUAAUAUUUAGGUAAAUAAAUUUCAAUUUUUGAACUUAUAGCAUAGGAAAUAAACAUUUAGAUAGCAUAUUUUAGGUAAAUUCAUAAACAUUUAGAUAGGAUAUUUUAGGUAAAUUCAUUUAAAUUCAGUUUAAAAUUAAAUAGAUAAAUAUAUUGUAAAUUUUUGUAGUCAGAGUAUAAAUUAAAGUGUCUAGGUGUAUAUAAAUUUUUAAACUAUAUAAUAUGGAGAGUGAACCAAGCACUUCGCAUGAGACGAAUAGUAGUGAAUUACCAGUAACAAUAAGAUGGACAAGGGAUUUACAUGGCAUUCCAGCAUUUACAUAUGAGCUGUUAAUCAAGCAUUUGGGGACUGAAAAUUCUGGUACAGGUGCUCAGAAACACAAGAAAUUGGGUUAUCAAAUGUUCAAAGACAAAUAUGUUGGUCAAGUCCAGGUUAAACCAAAUAUCACUAAAGGGAACAUGUCCUGCUUCUUAGUUAAAGGCACUGUUAAUGCUGCAAUGAAAAGCAACACAUACACUGUUUAUGUCCAUUUAAAUGAAGCAAAUGGGGAGGUUGUGUAUAGCAACUGUAUGUGUAUAGCAGGCAAAGGUGGUAAAUGUAAACAUGUUGUUGCUCUGCUCUUUCAAGUUAUUGAAUACAAACAAUUAGACAUGACCGAGAUUCCAGAUCACCCGACCUGUACACAGCUAUUACAGCAAUGGCACGUACCGAGAAAAGAUGAGUCAGAUGAAGCUGUUCUUUAUGAGAACAUUGUGUUUGAAAAGGCUGUGUAUGAGAAAGAUGUUCAGGCUAAAAAGAGAAAACACAGACAGUCACUCCCCAUAUAUAACCCUACUCCACAUUUUUCACAAACAGUACAGCAAAAUGAUGUUCAAAAGCUUGCCAAUUCAUUGACUGAAACAGAUAAAAAUAGCUACUUGGGCAACUUACUAAAGUCAAAUAAUUGUCAGCCAUGCCCUUUUGAGACCAUGCACCUAGAUUUACCAUCAAAGAAGCUACACUCUGAGUCAAUGCAUCUCAAUAUAAAUAAUUCUAGUGUUCGGGAUAAAAUAUUUGAAAGAUUACCUUCCACUACAGCUAAAGAAUAUGUAACAAAUUGUGAUGCUAUCAAUAGCUUAAGCUCCUUAGUUAAAAUUACACAUGCAGAAGUGCUUCAAAUUGAGCAAAACACUAGAGAACAGUCCUCAAGUGAUACCUGGUUUGAUGAACGGCAAAAAAGGCUCACAUCUUCAAAUUUUGGAGCGGUUGUUAAGCGUAGAAAACAAAUAUACCCUAAGUCAAUAUUAACAACUAUUCGCAAAUCAAAGCAGUCCACCUGUCCCAAACCUUGUCAGUGGGGAAAAGAUAAGGAAGUGAAAGCCAUUCAAGAGUACUACAAAUUGAAAAGAAAACAUGGGAACAAUUUUGACAUUUGUGCAAGUUGUGGGUUUGUUGUGAAUUUGAAGUUUCCAUGGUUAGGUGCUAGCCCUGAUUUUUUAGUGUUUGACAGCACAGAAGCAACAUCACUUGGCAUCGGAGAAGUCAAAUGCCCAUUCUCAAAAAAGAACUUAACCAUUGAUGAUGCUUGCAGUGAUAAAAAAUUCUUUUUAGAAAAAUUGAAUGGAAAGGUCACAUUAAAGAAAAGCAACAAUUAUUUUUAUCAAAUUCAAGGGUGUAUGGCCACACUUGAUGUUACCUGGUGUGAUUUUGUUGUUUUCACCAAUAUUGACUUGCAUGUUGAGAGGAUUUACUUUGAUAAUGAAUUCUGGCAAAAAGUUGUUCCAGAGCUAAGCAGUUUUUACUCUGAAUACAUGUUACCAGAAUUGUAAUAUAGAAUAAACAAUAUAAUUAUGUUAACAAGGUGCAAUUACGAUUUACUGAAAGUCACCUAUAACUCAACAGUUUAAACUUGUUUUUCCUUAAUGAUAGGUGGUAAAAAUAGUGUUAAAUAGGAGCAAACACUCCAAAUGUGUUCUAAGUUCUCAGCCAAUGUCAGGGGAACUACCUGAUGCAAAAUUCUAUAAGUUUUUAUUCUUGCAAUUGCACGCUCAACAUGUACACGGACUGAGGCAAUUUUUCGUGUUUUCACCUCAUCCUCUGCUGAUAGCUGAGGCUGUCCAUUUAAAAAGGGUGGAAUGUUUAACGACACUCCAUUUGGCAUGUCAGCCUCAAUAUCGAAUCCCC